GCCCAGGUGGCGGAAUUGGCAGACGCAGUAGACUCAAAAUCUACCACCGCAAGGUUUGUGGGUUCGACCCCCACCCUGGGCACCA
rnacentral:tRNA from 3 species